rnacentral:tRNA from 1 species
GAGACCCUAGUAAAAUUAUUACUCUACCUUGUCAAGAUAGUGUUGGGGGUGAAAAUCCCCCGAGUCUUU